rnacentral:lncRNA from 1 species
CCAUUCUCUUAUGUUCAUUCCUAAAACGUUCCUAGCCAUAGGAUUGCCGAUUAGGCAUUGACAAUCCGCUAAGGCUAGUAUGUGUUAUGUUGACUCAAGCAUGAGUAUGACUAGUCUCAAGUCAUUUGGUGUUGGACACUAGGACAAACACAUAGGUGCUCGAAAGAGUAAUCGAGUACACUGAACAACGAUCAAAAGAGAGUUCGAACAUACAUGUCAUGUAAGAACUCAAAAGUUGCAAUAUGCAAAGUAGUCCUUUGACCUGAGGCAUCAUAGAUGUCUAAUGGUUAGGUUCUUGAUCUUUGAUCAUGUCAACGGCAUUCCAUCGGAGUGUCCACGGCAUUGUUGGGG